rnacentral:lncRNA from 1 species
AAAGAAAACUGAUACCAUAUUAUAAAUGAUAGAAAUAAUAUGUAAUUGCUUGAUGAAUCAGAGAGUACAACAACUAUUUAUAGGUAGUUGAUGCUGUACAAUACAUAUGAUGGACUAGCAUCAGCAUAUUAAAGCUACUACUAAGGUAAGCUAAGUUGCUUGUGGUCUAAGCUAUCUAAACCACUCUUAUUAUGUAAUAUAAAUAAAUCCUGAAUUAUUAAAAAAAUAAAAAAUAAGGAGUCCAACAACAACUCUUACAACAUCAAUUUAUUAAAAAAAAAAAUUACAUAAUCGAAUGAUACUUUUUGCCUUUCACAAUAUUUCAUUUAAUCCUUUGGUUCCUCUUCCUCAUAGGAUUUCAGCACCAUAUCCAUAUCACCAUGUUUCUUAAAGAAGCGAGUGAGCAACUCCUUAUAUUCGUAAGACUUAUAAAUAGGUGGAUUGUGUUCAUCAAUGAGAUCUUUUGUUGGUUCAAUGAAACAAUCACCUGAUGGAGCUAUAAAAAAGGCAGCAGUUGUGCGAGCUUGUUCUGAAUUUGUCACAACUCUAUGUUCCACACUUUUUAGCUUACCAUUAGUCAUUAUCUGUAUCCAAUAUUGUAACCCAUCACAAGUCAACAAAAUUUACCAAAUUACAUAAAUUAAUAAGAGACAUGAUUGAAAUGAAAAAAAUACAAAAAAUUUCCUUCAUGUGAGAUAGUGAUAAAUUAGUCCCUAGGGUUAUUAAUUUUUAAAGAAUUAAUGCAUUAAGUGUACCUGCAAGGCGUAGCCUAUGUUGAUAACAAAUGCAUGAGGAAUAGCAUCAACAGCAAUCCACUCUCCAUCCUUAAGUACUUGAAGGCCACAUAUAUCUUCUUGUUGUAAAACGGUUAUGAGGUAAGCAUCAAAGUGUUUGGUUAUACCAAGUGUUAAACUUGGAUCAGGGCAUGGUGGAUAAUGAUUAAGUUGGAUAACUAAUGAGUCACUAAGAUUAUCAUUGUCGAAAUAUCCACACUCCAAACCAAGCCCUUCACUAAUCAAAUUCAUGAUCCUUGAACCCAACUCCUUAAUUUUAGUUGAAUAAUCCCCAACACACUUUCUGCAAGAAAAAAAUGUCUAUUAGAUCUUUAACUGCAUGUGCAAAUUAGGGGUGACAAUGUGAAUAAAUUGAAUACAAUUUAACUUGGAUUGUGUAUUGGAUGGAUUGAACAACCCAUUAAUCUAUUUAUAAUCAACUACCCACUUAGGUUAGUCUGGUGGUAUUGACUUAGGACAUGAGAUUGUGCUCCUCCUCAAGAUCUCCCAAAGUCUUAUGACCAACGGCUCAUAAGGGUUUGCACUUGCCCGCAGCUCCUGACGCCCGCUUGGCGGGCGGAGCGCUCGUUAUCCUUACAGUUCUCUAUGCCGGGGCCCCCUCCCAUUGCUCUAGCCAUAAGUUGUGGCAACUCCAGCUCGAAACCAAAGGGGCCCGCCCUGCAAGGCUAGAGUGAGCUCAGUGGUCAUGUUUAAUUCUCCCCGAUACUAAUUUGAAUGAGUUAAUUUAGCUUUUUCAAAAAAAAAAAAAUUAUAAUCCAUGGAAAACUUCCUAAAACAACUAAAUCAAACCAUCAUCCGGACCAAACAAUCACCUAAUCCAUUUAUUUAUAUUUUGUCCAAUCUAUGCAUAAAAUACUUUAAAAGGAAAAACCUAUUACAAUAUUUUUUUUUUAGUACCACCAGAGCAUCUCCAUUGUGGCUGCAAGUGGUUCUCGGACAUCAAUUUUUGUGGAAAACUGGCGACUUUGUGUUAUUCCUAAAUCAUGACCGUCUUAUUUACCUAAUACGUUGUGAUGCAUUUGAUUUACCAAAAAAACAAAAACUAUGAAUGUUUUAGUUCCUAUUUAUAAGUCUUGUGUGUUUUAAACAGUUAUUAUGUAAUUAAUGUUUGUAUACGAUUGGUUCUUGAAUCGGAUGCCGAGUUUUCGAAAAAAUGUUUAUAUAUGAUUAUUAGAGAGAGAGAGGGAGAGAGGGAGGGAGGGAGAGAGAGAUCAAAUUUAAUUCAUGUUUUGUUAAAAAAAUUAUAUUUUUUUUUUAGAAAAAAUUUCAUUUAAAAAUAUGAAUGUUACACGAGAGUUGACUUCAAGGCAGUGAUCAAAUGUGAUGAUGCAAAUAUUUUAGGAGAAUAAACUCGAAGAAUUUUUUUGGAUAUAUUAAAACACAAAGUUGAUAUAUUUAUAGAGAUAAAAACAUAUUUAACCAUAGUGUUAAUAUUUGGAAAUGAAUAAUAAAUGUAUUUAAAAAUUUGUUGAGGGUUUUUAAUUAUGGACGAGCAAACAUUUUAAAAUUGUCUUAUAAUUAAAGGUCAAAGAGAAUAUGACAAUUCACGAAUUAAUAACCAUUCUAAUGUGAGCAAGCUUAUACUUAUCUUAAUUUGGGCAUAUACUAAUGAAUUUACUCAUCUAACUAAUCAGGGGCGAAUCCACCAUAGAGCUAUGUGUGGCUCUAGCCACACAUGAUUAUACCCUCUUUUUUUUUUUUUUUUUAUUUUUCUUUCAUAUACUAGAUCUCAAACAAUUGAUUAUAACAGUUAUUCUUUCUUUCACAAAAAAAAAAAAAAAAGUUAUAUUAUAUAUAUAUAUAUAUAUAUAUAUUUCUAAAAAAAAAAACAGUUAUAUACUAUAUAUAUGUCUAAAACAUGUGAAGAUUCUUUAUAUGGUCUAUCAGUAUGUAUGGUUGCGUAUAUCAAUACGCAUACAAGACUCUUUUUAGAAAAAAAAUUGUCACUUUUUAUAAGACUGUGUUGAUAUAUAUUUUUAAAUAUAUUAAUUAAUUAUUUACCAACAAACUCCUAUUUAUUUUAUAUUUUUUUCUUCAAUCAGUAUUAAAUACCAUGUUGAAAACAUACACUAACUCUUUCUCUUAAAGAAUAAAAUUGUAAAAACAAUAGCAAUUACAAACAAACUUAUUACCACUUUCAAUUUUCUUAACUCCCGUUAUUUUUUUAAAAGGACCCUAUAAUUAAGGAUAGAGGGAGUAUGAUUUAAUUCAUAGUUUCUUUUAUAAUUCAGUCACACCUAAACAUUAUAUCUAGAUCCAUGCAUGUAACUAAUGUACUUUGUUCAAUCAUUGUUAUAAACAAAACUUUAUUUUGUAUAUUCAUUGAAUAAUAGGUAGUAUUAAUUAGAGAGAUUGCAAGUAGUGAAAUUGUUAUGUCGACUAUUUAAUUAAGUUAAAGACUAGUUAAUAGCUCAAGUAAUAAUCAAUUUGAGAUAGAGAACUAUUACAAAUGAGACCGACCAAGUUUUCAUGCAUUUACCUGUAUGUAGUUGGAUAUUCAGGCCACAAGUGUUGCCACUGUUCCAAAGGAUAAGCUGGGUGUCUAAGAGUGUCCCUCCAAAGAUGAACCUUAUCAAAUUCAUAUUUGAAAGUGCUAGAAAACAUCUUACAUGUCUUCAAAUUGUUCUCAGGAUACAAGUCGUGUUUGUAUUCAUUAGGCUUCUCAAACACCUCCUUAAAAACACUCAUUGCUUCCUUCAUUUCAUCCAACGAGAGACCAUGAUUGAUAACCUAUUUUAAUCAAAAAAAAUGUCGGGAUUUUAUAUUAGACACAUUGUCGGAGCCACGUUGUGGCCAGGGGGUUCAAUUGCACCUUCUCAACUUUUCAUAUUUACACCUAUUUUACUAUAUUUUCAUUGUCUUGAACCCCCUCAAAAUUAAGCCUUGCACCAUAUUGAAUUGACUCUCUCCUCUCUCACUAGGAAAAAGUUGGUAAAGUUGUGUCUGUGCAUACAGUGUGACAAUAAUACAAUGCAGAUUGCCCAAAGUUUAAGUCAAAGUAAAAAAUAUCAUUUUUUUUAACAGCAAAUUUUAUUUAAAAAUCAGAUCCUUGCUCAAGACGAACAGAGACAGGUGAUAUUAUAAAUAUCAUUUUAUAUUAUAAAUUGAUGAUAGAUUGGAAUCAAAACAAAAUAUCUUGAAUGGAAAUUAAAUCUGGAUAUUUAGCAUAGAAAAUGUAUAGAAUAUUUAGCAUUGUGUUUUCAAAUUUUAACUGAUAAAUAUUCUAUGAUGGAAAAAAAUGUAAGAUGUGGAAAUUUUUCUUAAAUAAAUAUAAAUAUAUUUUAAUAUUUAUAAUUUUACGACAUUCAUCUUUAAAUAUAUAAUUUUUCUAUUGUCUCUAAAUAGGCAAACAACUAUGUUGAUCAUCCAUGAAUGUGUGAGACACUCUUAUACUCUUUAAAUGUAUCGAAAAUACAUUUAUAGUGCAUCUUUUUUUGUGUGGUAAUUUUAUAGAUUAAAUUGAACAAUGACAAAACAUAUUCUAAGAUAUAAUUGACUAUCAAAAAACUAAUUUAAUAAAAGAGACGUUUAGAGAUCAAUAUGAUGGCGAAAUACACAUUCAAGGUAAAAAUUUGGUAGGUCGAAAUUUUGAACCCCUUAACUUAGGGUCCUGGCAACACAACUAAAGUUUGCUUAGUAUAUUUUAGAGGAAAAAUAUAUUUAAUCUUAAAAUAGAAAGAGUAUUUAGUAUGAAUACCUGAAAGAAUCCAAACUCCUCAGAAGCCUUGAUAAUUUGUUGUAUUGUUUUGGUUCUAUCCCCAUUUUGUGCUUCACUAAGAUCAAUUGUUGGGAUGGUUUUGUUAAUUGGGAUUUUGAAAUUCCCUGGUCUUGUUUCUUGUGGGAAUACAUAGUCCUCAGGCACAGAUUUGAUGCUUGACCGGUUUGAAAUAAAUUUCUCCNUUUUUUUUUUUUUAAGGAAUCAUGCUUUAUAAUUUUUAUUUUUUUUGAAGAAGUUAAAUUAGCUUAUCCAAAUUGAUACCGGAGAGAACCAUCAGACCAAUUCAAGUGGGUUCAUGUUUUACAAUGUUGUUUCCUUUUUGCAUCAGACAUGCUAAUUGUAAAACAUAAAUAUUUGAAUCAAUCAUUAAGUGUAUUUUAACCACUUGAUUAAGUGGUUAAACUCAUAUCCUCAUGUAAAUCAACGAGAGUGUAACCUUUAUAGCCUGACUUGUAUCCCAAGAAAAAAGUUUUUCUAGCUCUAGAUUGAAGUUUAGUUCUAUGGACAGAAAGAGAAGUAGCAUAACACAGACAACCAAAAACUUUGAAAGUUGAAAUGUCAGGUAAUUUGUAGUAAAGAACUUGAUAAGGACACUUAUGAUUAAGGGUAUGAGUGGUGAUACGGUUAAUGAGGAAAAUUGCAUGAGAAACUGCAUAAGAUCAAAAAGAGGAGGGUAGUUUGGAUUGGAAUAAAAAAGUGCUCUACCAACAUUUAAAAUGUGUUGGUUUUUUUUUUCUACCCUACCUUUUUGUUGAGGAGUAGCAACACAAGAUUUUUGAUGGAUAAUGCCAAGGGAAUCAUAAAAGGUUGGAAGGAUAAACUCAUGGCCAUUGUCUGAUCUGACAUCUUUAGGAGUGAUAUAAAACUGGUUUUGAAUCAUGGCAAUGAAACAUUGGACAUGGUGAGAAACUUCAGCUUUGGGUUCAAGGAGAAUAAUCCAAAGAAACCUAUUAUGAUCAUCAACAAUGGUAAGGAAGUAUUUGUGACCAUGAACAGAAGGUACAGAUAAGGGACCCCAAAUAUCAAAGUGUAGCAAUUCAAAAUUAGAAGAUGCAUUAGAAUUACUAGAUUCAAAAGGAAGAUGCUUUUGUUUAGCAAAAUGAUAGACAUCGCAAAUUGAAUUAUUAUCAGAAACAAUAUUGGAGUACAAAGUUGACAUCUUAUUCACUCUUUGAUGAGAUAAGUGUCCCAAUCUGAAGUGCAAUAAGGCUUUAUUGGGAAUAACAACAAUACUUGAAUUACAAGAAAUUGAAGAAAUUGCAUUACAAAUUUAUUGAUAUGACUAGAAAGAUCACUAGCAGAAACUAAAGAUAGAGAAUGGAGUAUGUAUAAACCAUCCACUUGUUUAGCCAAAUCAAUCUGCUUCAUUGAGAAUUGGUCAUGUAUAAUGCAUUGAGUAUGUGAGAAUUGCACAAAACAAGAUAAAGAAUGACACAAUUUGGCUACAUAGAUAUGAUUCAACUUAAAGGAAGGAGAAUAAAGAGCAUUGGUGAGAUAAAGCUGAGAACUAAAAGAAACAAUGUCAUCAUGAUUAACAAGGAUAGAGGUACCAUUAGGUAAAUUGACAUGAACAUGCUUAAUCUGAUAAAAUGAAGUAAAAGAAGCUAAGUUGCCAUAUAUGUGCUCAUUACCCCCAGAAUGUAAUAACCAAUGUGAGGUAGAAGGAAAAAAACAAGAAUGAGUAUUCAGAUUACCUACAGAAGAAGAAGCAGCAGUGUAAUUGGAGGAAACUUGAGGAGAAACACUAAUAUGGUUGGUAGUAGGGUCAGAUGUAGAAGCAGGAACUGAGGUAAACAAAUUUGUCUGCUGCAACAAGAAGAUAAGCUGAUCCAUCUUUUCUUGAGACAAACCAGUACUACCAGAAGAGUUGCUUGCAUCUGAAGCUUCAUUCGAAGUAGCAUUGGCCUGUGAAAUCUUCUUGUUCACAUUAGGAUAGCCAUGCUUUUGAUAGAAAAAGUCAAUUGUGUGAUUGUGUCUAUUUCAAAAAAUGCAAAACCUUGAUGAAGGUUUAGUGAAUGAACAUUUACCACGCCCUUAAGGUUUCUUUGCAUCAUAUGCAUUAACAAGCACAUUAUCUUCAGCAAGAGAAGGGAGUGAAAGAAGAGAAGUAUUAUUACUUUCUUCUUGUAAAACCAAAGAGAAAUUCUUAUUCAAGGUAGGCAAUGGAUCCAUCAAUAAGACUAGAGUCUUCACAGCAAAAAAUUGCUUAUUGAUGCUAGUUAAAAACUGAAUGAUUUGGUCCUCAUUUCUAUAUGUGUCAGUAACCUUAAGAGCAUCACAUCAACAUUGAUGAUGACAGUACAAUUUGGGAGAGGAGGAUGAGAAUGUAAUUCUUCCCACAAAGCUUUCAUUUCAGUGAAAUAAUCCAACACAAAUUUGGUAUUUUGCCUAAGAUUGUUAAUUUAAUUCCAGAACGCAAAUUGGCAAUUCUAAUACGAUCAAUCUUAGAAAAACGUUCCUUCAAAUCCUCCCAAAAAUCAAAAGCAUUAUCAUGAAACAAUAUAGUUUGAGAAAUUGAAUCAGAAACAGAAUUAAUAAUCCAAGACUAUACCAAAUGAUUGCAUCUUUCCGAAGCAUUACGAUUGAGGUCAUCAUGAUCAGGUACAGGUAGAGUUCCAUUGAUAAAGGGAAGCUUGUUCUUAACACCCAAAGCACGCUGCAUUGAUCUACUCCAUGCAAGAUAAUUGGAUCCAUUGAACUUAGGAGACACAAUCACCGAAUUAGGUCCUUCACUAUGAUGAACAAAGAAAGCAGAAUCAGUAUCAUUGUUGCUGUUGUUGAUUCGAAGCACGAACCAUCAUUCCAAAUCAGAGGAAGAAGAUGAAGAUCUUCGUAAGAAAUAAAUGCAGAGAAGCAAUACGCAAAGCUUGCGAAGGAAGAAAGAGAAGAAUCUCAAUACAAAAUUGAGAACAAAACAAGAAGAAUCAUGAAGAGAAAGAGAAAGAAAACUGAUACCAUAUUAUAAAUGAUAGAAAUAAUAUGUAAUUGCUUGAUGAAUCAGAGAGUACAACAACUAUUUAUAGGUAGUUGAUGCUGUACAAUACAUAUGAUGGACUAGCAUCAGCAUAUUAAAGCUACUACUAAGGUAAGCUAAGUUGCUUGUGGUCUAAGCUAUCUAAACCACUCUUAUUAUGUAAUAUAAAUAAAUCCUGAAUUAUUAAAAAAAUAAAAAAUAAGGAGUCCAA